AACGUCUUCUGAAAUCGAAAAACGAUAGGUUUAAAACCGACUUUGUCAUUUCGACACAGAAAAAACAAAAAGCAAUGGAGGACAGCUGGUGGGUGGCCAAUUUAAAGGCUCUGGAGUCGAGGCCACAACGCCUCGAGGCCCUGACCACGAUGAACACGACCAUCGCAAAGGAGGCGGCUCUUUCGCGGCAAAUCAUUGAACGCCUGCUGACCACGGCGGAGUUGUAUGACUGCGCCAAUUCCGCGGCGGAUUCGCAGGUUCCCAAGGAUCAGGCUGUGGACGUGACCCUGGACUUGCUGGGCCACUGCCUUGAUCAGCUGGCAAUGGACACCGCCGACGAGCAGCUGCCCAGUUUGCUGAGACGUGGCUUGACCCACCCGAAUCCCGCCUUGCGUGCCCUGGUGUUGGCCAGGUUGCUCAAGGAGCUGCGCCGCCAGUUGGCAGCCGGGCAGGUUCGCACUCUGCCCAACAAUGAGCUUAUUUUCCUCAUCUUGGACGAGCUGAAACAGCCGAAUACGGAGGGCACCUCGCUGGCCAUCAAUAUACUGUCCAUUGUGCUUGUUCAGCGGCUCAGCGAUGCCGAUGUGCAGGCCAAACUAGUGCAUCUCCUCCAGCAGAAUGAGAUCGUGCGCUGUUGCGCCUACGAAUUGGCAGUGGUGCUGGCCAAGGAGAGUGCCGCCUCGCUCAGUGCUGUCAAAUUCAUUCUGGACGCUGCACUCAGCGAACUGGACAACGAUGAUGUUUUAUUGCAGGCCUGCGUCAUGGACCUCCUAGGGCCACUUGCUGAACAGAACCAUGGACUCUCCUACAUGGAACGGCGUCGUGUUUUGGAUAUAAUCAGCACACGGGUCCAACGCGUCGAGGAGCAUCCGUUAGACGCCCUGCUCAUACCCAGCAUUAUGAAGUUUUUCGGCAAAAUUGCCGCAUACCAGCCUCUGAAGAUCAUUGCCGGCUACCCGCACAUGCUCGCCUGUUUGUUCCAGCAGCUGCAGUCGGAGGAUGAGAGUAUUCUGCCCACCGCCAUGGAUACGCUGGCCAAUUUGGCCAGUACUCCGCAGGGUAAGAUGCUCCUGCACCUGCACUUCAACGCGGCCAUGGAGGAGUCCUUUAAGAUAUAUGGCUCGUACACUAAGAAGCUAUCGGCGCCCAUCAAGGAGCGGCUGCUCAACUCGCUGGAUGUGAUUUAUGAGGUGGAGACACCGCCCACCAAAGAACUCAAUACCAUUCUUAAAAGCUGGUACGAGUGCUUCGCUGGGGGAGCGCAUGCCAAUGUUUUUAUGGACCUGAUCAACACCCCGUUCCCUGACCUCCAAAUGGCCGCCUUGGCGCUGUUGAAGACCAUUUGCAAGUACGGCUGGGGCAUUGUAGCUCUUAAGAAUACCGGCGGUGCUGUGGAGUUCUUGCUGUCGCGUCAAAGGGAUCUGCACAGGUGCAUUAAGUAUAUCAAGUGGCAAAUCAUGGAGAUUCUGUCCGCCAGCGCCGAGUUCUCGCCCACCGAAACCGUCCGUUUUACGGCCUACGUGAACGAGGGACCCUAUCACGUCCAGGCGGACCUCGAUAUAGCCACCGAACCGCAGGGCAACGCCUAGAGGUCGGUAUGCCAAGCAUUUGCGGCCUUUGAUUCUAAAUCGUAUGUACAGCGACAGGUUCAAUUAACAUCUGAAUAUGUAUUUAUAGAAUUACAAUAAGAUUUAACUAUUAGAUCACAUGUAACAAUGCCCCAUUGGGCAGGUCGAAUUAAUGGGGAUGCAACAAAUAGUCAGAAUAUUCUUUGGACAAUUAAAGGAUUGAAUACCUUCCAAGGGCAAAGUAAAUCAUAUGCAAUAAAGAAACUUAAAUACAA